UUUAAGCGCGGCCACGAGUUUCUGCGUUCAAUUUUGAUCGUUCGUUUUAUUUGUAAUUUUAUAUGUGAUCUAUGUUUUAUUUUUUUAAAAAAAAACAAAUAAAAUGGACGAUUAAAGUUGGACAUGAAAACUCAUAAUUGAGUUUAAA
rfam:Oryza rufipogon genomic scaffold, chr06